AUUGAACGCUGGCGGCAGGCUUAACACAUGCAAGUCGAGCGGGGUGAUGGUGCUUGCACUAUCACUUAGCGGCGGACGGGUGAGUAAUGCUUAGGAAUCUGCCUAUUAGUGGGGGACAACAUCUCGAAAGGGAUGCUAAUACCGCAUACGUCCUACGGGAGAAAGCAGGGGAUCACUUGUGACCUUGCGCUAAUAGAUGAGCCUAAGUCGGAUUAGCUAGUUGGUGGGGUAAAGGCCUACCAAGGCGACGAUCUGUAGCGGGUCGGAGAGGAUGAUCCGCCACACUGGGACUGAGACACGGCCCAGACUCCUACGGGAGGCAGCAGUGGGGAAUAUUGGACAAUGGGGGGAACCCUGAUCCAGCCAUGCCGCGUGUGUGAAGAAGGCCUUAUGGUUGUAAAGCACUUUAAGCGAGGAGGAGGCUCUUUUGGUUAAUACCCAAGAUGAGUGGGCGUUACUCGCAGAAUAAGCACCGGCUAACUCUGUGCCAGCAGCCGCUGUAA
rnacentral:rRNA from 1 species